CCUACGGGAGGCAGCAGUGGGGAAUUUUGGACAAUGGGGGCAACCCUGAUCCAGCCAUGCCGCGUGUGUGAAGAAGGCCUUCGGGUUGUAAAGCACUUUCGGCCGGAACGAAAUCGCGCGACUUAACACGUCGCGUGGAUGACGGUACCGGAAGAAGAAGCACCGGCUAACUACGUGCCAGCAGCCGCGGUAAUACGUAGGGUGCGAGCGUUAAUCGGAAUUACUGGGCGUAAAGGGUGCGCAGGCGGCGUCGCAAGUCAGGCGUGAAAUCCCCGGGCUUAACCUGGGAAUGGCGCUUGAAACUACGAUGCUGGAGUAUGGCAGAGGGAGGUGGAAUUCCACGUGUAGCGGUGAAAUGCGUAGAGAUGUGGAGGAACACCGAUGGCGAAGGCAGCCUCCUGGGCCAAUACUGACGCUCAUGCACGAAAGCGUGGGGAGCAAACAGGAUUAGAUACCCUAGUAGUC
rnacentral:rRNA from 1 species